rnacentral:rRNA from 1 species
GGUAUGGGAUGAGCUUGCGUCCGAUUAGCUAGUUGGCGGGGCAACGGCCCACCAAGGCGACGAUCGGUAGCCGGCCUGAGAGGGUGAUCGGCCACAUUGGGACUGAGAUACGGCCCAGACUCCUACGGGAGGCAGCAGUAGGGAAUAUUGUACAAUGGGGGAAACCCUGAUGCAGCAACGCCACGUGUGGGAAGAAGCAUUUCGGUGUGUAAACCACUGUCGUGAGGGAAUAAGGCAUCGUUUCGGCGAUGUUGAAUGUACCUCGAAAGGAAGCACCGGCAAACUUCGUGCCAGCAGCCGCGGUAAUACGAGGGGUGCAAGCGUUAUUCGGAAUCACUGGGCGUAAAGGGAGCGUAGGCGGAGAAGCAAGCGGACUGUACAAUACCGGGGCCCAACCCCGGACCUGCAGUUCGGACUGCUUUUCUUGGAUAGUUCAGGGGCAGGC